GAUGAACGCUGGCGGCGUGCCUAAUACAUGCAAGUCGAGCGAACAGACGAGGAGCUUGCCUCCCUCACGUAAGCGUCGGACGGGUGAGUAACACGUGGAUAACCCACCUAUAAGACUGGGAUAACUUCGUGAAAACGGUGCCAAUACCGGCUUAUCUAUUGAACAGCAUGGUUCAAGAGUGUAAGGCGGUUUUGCAUUCACUUUUCGCAGGAUCCGCGCCGGAUUAGCUAGUUGGUAAGGUAACAGCUUACCAAGGCAACGAUGCGUAGCCGAUCUGAGAGGGUGAUCGGCCACACUGGAACUGAGACACGGUCCAGACUCCUACGGGAGGCAGCAGUAGGGAAUCUUCCGCAAUGGGCGAAAGCCUGACGGAGCAAUGCCGCGUGAAUGAUGAAGGUCUUCGGAUCGUAAAACUCUGUUAUCAGGGAAGAAGAAAUGUGAGAGUAACCAUGCACGUAUUGACGGUACCUAAUGAGAAAGCCACGGCUAACUACGUG
rnacentral:rRNA from 1 species